UGAAAUACACUAGUGAAGUUGGAUGAAGAGCCAAGUACACCUGCCUAACUUUAGCCUUUGUGCCUGUAGGUACAAUUAGAUCUUCUCAUUUCAAAUGCAUGCUAUUGUGUGAGUUUGGAGCAUGCACUGCUGAAAGCAAUCAUCAUUGAAUGCCUACAAGUGGCUUAUAAUGAGACACACAUUUAUGUCAGCAGAAUAUUUUUCCAGUUGGAAGCACCAUCCCUUUUCUUCUGUUGUAUGGUUGAGAGACUGCAGCAGCCUACAUGAUCCUCAGCACAUCCUCAGGGCUGUGGUGAUCUUAUCCUGGAGGACUUUGAACUCAAACUAUGGCACAUUAUUGGAGUUGAUGAACAUGACAGGAGUCUGGGGUGAGUAUGUCCAUGGUGACUCUGCCCAGAGCAAUGUAGAACCCUGUGCCUCACUGUGGAGAUGAUGACUGUGAACAGGAGCCCGGGCCUGCUCUGUGCCCCUUGAGAGGUUAGGGGUGAUUUACUAUGCUUUGUUUGCAUUCCCCAGACUUUCAUUGCAUAAUACUCCAACUUCAGUUUGGGAACAACUUCCUCACCCCUUACUGUACAGCAUUUCUUUUUCUUUUGCUUUGAUAAAAUACCAUUAUCAAGAAAUACUUAAGGAAGAGCUGACUUGAACUUACAGUUCCAGAGGGCUAUAUAUCCAUAUAUGCCAGGGAAGGCACAGCUGCAUGAAUAGGAAGCAGAGAGAGAAAACUGGAAGUGGCAAAAGCUAUAAACUCUCAAAGCCCCAUCCCCCAGUGACAUACUUUCUCCAACAAGGCUCCUCAUCCUGAAAUUCCAUUACCUCUCUAAACAGCGCUACCUACAGAGACCGAGGGCUCAAGGAUCUGAGCCUAGGGAGACAUUUCUCAUUCAAGUCACCACAGAUGAUGGCACAGCAACGACCUAUCAAAAGAAAAGCCACAACAAACCCUGAACCGGGCACAAUCUGUGCUGAUAAUGAAAGUGACUACAGCAUCAGAGAAAAUGUACCACCUUCUUAAGAUUCUGGAAGGGCACACACAAGCCAACCAGACGAUGAAAACUGGAAUUGAAAUGUAAGCCCUCAGGGAAGGACAAUAUCACAUACCAAGAGUCGUCAAGGACUUGAGAGGAUAAUGGACUACCUAUGGUCAAACAAUGGGACUAGAAGCAGACCAUAUAACAAUGAGUAUGAAACAGCUCUCAGAUCCAGACUGCUGUCUUAAAAAUUAGUUUCCUUAUAUAAAUGACUAACCUUCUUACCAUAGAAACUCUGCUAAGUAAAAGAAGCAAUUUUUAAAAUUGUACAGGAAAAAUGUGAGCUGAAAAAACACACUAAAUGCAAUUGUCAACACAAUGGAAGGUGCAAUCUGCAGAAAAGGUCAACCGGAAGCAACAGCUAUGAGCUCACAACAGGCUAUUUGGAAAUUCACACAAGGA
rnacentral:lncRNA from 1 species